rnacentral:rRNA from 1 species
GAUGAACGCUGGCGGCGUGCCUAACACAUGCAAGUCGAGCGAACAGACGAUGCGUUUGCGCGUCUGUCGUUAGGGGCGGAAGGGUGUGUAACACGUGGAUAAACCACCUAUCUUCCUGGGAUAACCUCGAGAAAGCGGCGCUUAUACCGGAUAAUAUAUUGCACCGCGCGGUUCGAUAGUGAGAGACGGUUUUUCUGGCUCGUCUAGAGGGUUCCGCGCUGCAUUGUCUGGUUGGUAGGGUAACGGCUUCCCAAGGGUACGAUGCGUAGCCGAGCUGAGAGGGUGAUCGGCCGCACGAGAGGGGAGACGCCGUCCAGACGACUACGAGAGGCAGCAGUAGGGAAUCUUACGCAAUAGUCGGAAGCAUGACGGAGCAGCGCCGCGCGGGUGGUGACGGUGUUCGGAGCGUAAAGCUCUCUUAUGGGGGGUGAACAAAUGUGGAAGUGACUGUGGACGUCUUGACGGUACCUGGUCAAGAAGCCACGGCUAACUACGUG